UUAACACAUGCAAGUCGAGGGGCAUCAGGAAGAAAGCUUGCUUUCUUUGCUGGCGACCGGCGCACGGGUGAGUAACACGUAUCCAACCUGCCCUUUACUCGGGGAUAGCCUUUCGAAAGAAAGAUUAAUACCCGAUGNGAUAAUCAUUCCGCAUGGUUUGAUUAUUAAAGGAUUCCGGUAAAGGAUGGGGAUGCGUUCCAUUAGGUUGUUGGUAAGGUAACGGCCCACCAAGCCUUCGAUGGAUAGGGGUUCUGAGAGGAAGGUCCCCCACAUUGGAACUGAGACACGGUCCAAACUCCUACGGGAGGCAGCAGUGAGGAAUAUUGGUCAAUGGGCGCGAGCCUGAACCAGCCAAGUAGCGUGAAGGAUGACUGCCCUAUGGGUUGUAAACUUCUUUUAUAUUAGAAUAAAGUGCAGUAUGUAUACUGUUUUGUAUGUAUAAUAUGAAUAAGGAUCGGCUAACUCCGUGCCAGCAGCCGCGGUAAUACGGAGGAUCCGAGCGUUAUCCGGAUUUAUUGGNUUUAAAGGGAGCGUAGGUGGACUGGUAAGUCAGUUGUGAAAGUUUGCGGCUCAACCGUAAAAUUGCAGUUGAUACUGUCAGUCUUGAGUACAGUAGAGGUGGGCGGAAUUCGUGGUGUAGCGGUGAAAUGCUUAGAUAUCACGAAGAACCCGAUUUCGAAGGCAGCUCACUGGACUGCAACUGACACUGA
rnacentral:rRNA from 1 species